rnacentral:rRNA from 1 species
UACAGAGGUCUCAAGCGUUGUUCGGAUUCAUUGGGCGUAAAGGGUGUGUAGGUGGCGCCUUCAGUCGGGUGUGAAAUUUCGGAGCUUAACUCCGAAACUGCAUUCGAUACUGCGGUGCUUGAGGACUGGAGAGGAGACUGGAAUUCAUGGUGUAGCAGUGAAAUGCGUAGAGAUCAUGAGGAAGACCAGUGGCGAAGGCGGGUCUCUGGACAGUUCCUGACACUGAGGCACGAAGGCCAGGGGAGCAAACGGG